rnacentral:rRNA from 1 species
UACGGAGGAUCCGAGCGUUCUCCGGAUUUACUGGGUUUCCAGGGUGCGUCGGCGGGCGCCUCCGUCAGCGGUGCCCGGCAGCGGCUCAACCGUUGGCCUGCCGUUGAGACUGGGCGCCUUGGAUUCGGUCGGGGCCGGCGGAAUGCGUGGUGUAGCGGUGAAAUGCUUAGAUAUCACGCGGAACGCCGAUCGCGAAGGCAGCUGGCCAGGCCGAGAUCGACGCUGAGGCACGAAAGCGUGGGGAUCAAACAGG